CUUCUCGUGGUAUAGUUGGCAACGCGCCUGUCUAGUGAGUAGGAGUCGUGAGUUCGAGUCUCACCGAGAGGA
rfam:Aedes albopictus isolate Foshan contig21623, whole genome shotgun sequence.